GUGGACAUGGUGUAGCGGUAGCAUGUGAGGCUUCCAACCUCUUGGUGUGGGUUCGAGUUCCACUGUCCAUACCA
rnacentral:tRNA from 2 species